AGCUCGAGUUUCUCUUCAUUGUCGCAUACAUCUUUCGCCUUUUACUAAAGAUUUCCGUGGAGGGGAACUUUUGCGAGUGAUCUGUUAUUUUUGGGGGCUCUGCUCACAGCAGAGCU
rnacentral:snRNA from 1 species